rnacentral:rRNA from 1 species
AUCGAACGCUGGCGGCAGGCCUAACACAUGCAAGUCGAACGAGUGGCGGACGGGCGAGUACUGUCUGGGAAACUGCUUGUUGGAGUGGGAUAACUACUGGAAACGGUAGCUAAUACCGCAUACCAUCGGAUGUGCCCAGAUGGGAUUAGCUAGUAGGUGGGGUAACGGCUCACCUAGGCGACGAUCCCUAGCUGGUCUGAGAGGAUGACCAGCCACACUGGAACUGAGACACGGUCCAGACUCCUACGGGAGGCAGCAGUGGGGAAUAUUGCCCAAUGGGCGCAAGCCUGAUGCAGCCAUGCCGGGUGAAAAAAGAAGGCCUUCGGGUUGAAAAGUACUUUCGACAAAGAGGCGUUACUCGCAGAGUAAACACCAGCUAACUCCGUGCCAGCAGCCGCGGUAAUAC